AGAGUUUGAUCCUGGCUCAGGAUGAAUGCUAGCGGCAGGCUUAACACAUGCAAGUCGAGGGGCAGCGGGGAGGAAGCUUGCUUUCUCCGCCGGCGACCGGCGCACGGGGUGAGUAACACGUAUGCAACCUGCCCCUGUCAGGGGGACAACCCGCCGAAAGGCGGGCUAAACCCGCGUACAUGCCACCGGGGCAUCCCGGAGGCAGGAAAGGCUUCGGCCGGACAGGGAUGGGCAUGCGGCGCAUUAGGCAGUAGGCGGGGUAACGGCCCACCUAACCGACGAUGCGUAGGGGUUCUGAGAGGAAGGUCCCCCACACUGGUACUGAGACACGGACCAGACUCCUACGGGAGGCAGCAGUGAGGAAUAUUGGUCAAUGGUCGGGAGACUGAACCAGCCAAGCCGCGUGAGGGAGGAAGGUACAGAGUAUCGUAAACCUCUUUUGUCAGGGAACAAAGGCGGGGACGUGUCCCCGGAUGAGUGUACCUGAAGAAAAAGCAUCGGCUAACUCCGUGCCAGCAGCCGCGGUAAUACGGAGGAUGCGAGCGUUAUCCGGAUUUAUUGGGUUUAAAGGGUGCGCAGGCGGUCUGUUAAGUCAGCGGUCAAAGCCCGGGGCUCAACCCCGGCCCGCCGUUGAAACUGGCAGUCUCGAGUUGGAGAGAAGUAUGCGGAAUGCGCGGUGUAGCGGUGAAAUGCAUAGAUAUCGCGCAGAACUCCGAUUGCGAAGGCAGCAUGCCGGCUCCACACUGACGCUGAGGCACGAAAGCGUGGGUAUCGAACAGGAUUAGAUACCCUGGUAGUCCACGCAGUAAACGAUGAAUGCUGGCUGUCCGGGGGGAUUGACCCCUGGGUGGCGAAGCGAAAGCGAUAAGCAUUCCACCUGGGGAGUAUGCCGGCAACGGUGAAACUCAAAGGAAUUGACGGGGGCCCGCACAAGCGGAGGAACAUGUGGUUUAAUUCGAUGAUACGCGAGGAACCUUACCCGGGCUCAAACGGGGAGUGACUCAGGCAGAGACGCCUGUUUCCCACGGGACACUCCCCGAGGUGCUGCAUGGUUGUCGUCAGCUCGUGCCGUGAGGUGUCGGCUUAAGUGCCAUAACGAGCGCAACCCCCGCGUGCAGUUGCUAACAGAUAACGCUGAGGACUCUGCACGGACUGCCGGCGCAAGCCGCGAGGAAGGCGGGGAUGACGUCAAAUCAGCACGGCCCUUACGUCCGGGGCGACACACGUGUUACAAUGGGUGGUACAGCGGGAAGCCGGGCGGCGACGCCGAGCGGAACCCGAAAUCCACUCUCAGUUCGGAUCGGAGUCUGCAACCCGACUCCGUGAAGCUGGAUUCGCUAGUAAUCGCGCAUCAGCCAUGGCGCGGUGAAUACGUUCCCGGGCCUUGUACACACCGCCCGUCA
rnacentral:rRNA from 1 species